rnacentral:rRNA from 1 species
UGGGGAAUAUUGCACAAUGGGCGCAAGCCUGAUGCAGCGACGCCGCGUGGGGGAUGACGGCCUUCGGGUUGUAAACCUCUUUCAGUAGGGACGAAGCGCAAGUGACGGUACCUACAGAAGAAGCACCGGCCAACUACGUGCCAGCAGCCGCGGUAAUACGUAGGGGGCGAGCGUUGUCCGGAAUUACUGGGCGAAAAGAGCUCGUAGGUGGUUUGUCGCGUUGUCUGUGGAGUCCCACAGCUUAACUGU